UUCCAGCAGACGGGCCCCAUCCGCUCCACCCGGCUCUCGCUGGAGCGAGGGCUGGAAAAGCGGGAUGGAGGCGAAGGGGGUAUCUCCCACCCCUCCGGGGCCCCGCGCGCCGCCUGCGCGCUGCUUCCCGGCAAAUACGAGUGCUAAAACACUGCCCCAGCCAUUGGAAGAACAGGGGUUUUGUGACGUGGAGGAGGAAACCUGGAGCCAGUAACACCAAGAUCCUCGGCUGGAUUGUGCUAGAUGUGACACAGGAGGCUGGAAAACCUCAGGCAAGCACUUGGACCACAUUCAACCAACUUCCAGUGGAAUCUGAUAAAGCCUUAAACACCAGUGGGGCUGGGAACGGGUGUGAGCGCUGUCAUCCAGAACAGCGACGGACUCUGGGGUGCUCUGCAGCCGGUGGGGAGCUGCAGGACCCCCUCAAACCACCCUUAGAUGGUGCUUUUAUUUAUUCCCACUGAUGAGGUACAGAACUAGGGGUCUGGCAGCCCUGGAACUGCAAAACUCCUGACGUGACCGUGGUUUUCAUGAUAACAGCAGGUGCCGAGCCUGUAACAAGCUCCAUCGAUCGCCAGUCUGGGGAGAGCCCUUGGUUUUACUGUGCUGUGUCUGGUGGGCAAACUUCUCCCAGCCCUACAUGGUGACCUGUUCUCCCUGAUGUUUUCAGCUGCAAAACUGUGAGGUAAAAGAGCCCCACGGGGCAGCAUCUUAACCCAUUUACUACAAAACAAGACAAUUAAGGACAGAAACACUUCGUAACAAAGUGCUACAGAGACAUGAUGGUGCUGUUUGUUCUCUCUGGACCUGAGCCCAGGGCCUGUGACCAGACCUGUCAUAUCCCCACACCUUCAAAGCCAGAGCCUGGACUGUGUUCUUGCUCUCCUAUUGCAGGGUGAGAGCUUUCCUGGAGCCUCCAAAAGAGCCCAAACACUUUAUUCUGUAAUCUGUCAUGCCUGUCAGGAUGCCAAGAGACACGCCAGACCUGGACCCUGGGCCAGAACAACUAUGUAGACAUGCCCAGAAAGGAGAGCUGGCACAAGGUGUUGUAUAAAGUGAGAUAUGUGGAGCUGCAGGCAAAUAGUUUGGUAAUUGCUUGGGUAGGUUAGGCUUGGCACAGGGCAGAGCAUGUCUGCUCAACAAGAAAGGAAGAGGCAAAACAGCUUGGAAAAGGUGUGGAUCCUGUCUGAGUGGGAGCUCAGGAGAGCUUCAAGGGGUUAAAAAAUAAUAACUGACCGAGAAAGGCUGAGGUGAAGCACUCAGUAAUAUCUCAGUGAGGCCACAAACACCCUUUCAAGAGGGUUUUCCCAGGGAAAAAAAAAAAAAAAAAGAUCACAUUCCUGAUAAUUAAUCCAAUUUCAUGAUACGGUUCAUGAGAGACAGGAGGGAGGAGUGUGCACCUUGCUCAGUGUUUGUGCAGGGGGAUAUAUUCCCUAAGGGCCUGUUACUGGUGCUCAAGGCCAUCCAGUCCCCUGAUGAGCAUUUUUGAUCAAAGUCUUCCCAAGCUGAUCUAUUUUCAGCCCAACCCACUCAAUACCUUGAUUGCCACACAGCUCUUUUAGCUGCUCUUAGGUAAACAGGCUGUCUCUCCUUGGCAUUUUGCCUCGCUAAGCCCAAAAAUACAAGUGGCACAGAAAAUGAGAGAAGCUGCUCUCCUUCGCCAGGAAAAACGAUGCUAUUUCUGAAAUAAGCUGGUUUUAAUACACCUCACUGGCCAUGCAUGGAUGUAUUUAUUUAUAAAUAUACUUGAACUGGAGGUCCAGCUGCUGGAUGCCUGUAUGGAGGCAGGAUCAGAGAGAGAAUUAUGUACAUAUAAACCCUGACAUGCCUUCAGUCCAGUAGCUGUCUGAAUGUAGCAUCUUGGUUAUGCUGAGGUAUCAGGGUCUGACUGCCAUUAAAGAGGGUUCACGUGAGCUGGUCCAAGCUCAGACCAGUGGGUUAUGGUCUGUUCUGGAGAGCUGCUACUGCUGUGCUGUGCUUAGGGAGGGCAACAACCAAGGUUCCCAUGCUGGGAAUUGCUUUGCACCCCAUGGUGGAGCUGGAAGUCAGACCAGGCACUCUGGGGACCCCUCCGAGCUCAGCCCCACAGCUGGUGGCUGUGCACAGCAGAUCAGUGCUGUCUGUCUGCUCACAUCCUCGGUUCUCUGUGGGCUGAGGUGGCCCCACAUGAGAUGCAGCACUGCACAGGACACAGUUCACAAGCCCUCCCUCAGUCAGCACCCCUGGGGCUGAGCCACAGCCUUGAGCCCAUCCAAAUCAGAGCUUAGUCCACAGCAGAUCUUAUUUUUGAGGAAUGACAGUGACACUGGCCAGAGCUUGAAGUCAUGUUUUCAGUUUUCCCCUUAGAAAGUAAACACAGAGAAGUCAACAACAGAUGGAGCAUCACAUGGAGUUACACAGGUCAGCACAGACUGCAGAGAACCCCUGAGUCUGAAGAAGAAAUAAUUUGGAGGGGGGAGCAGCUGGGAGAUAAUUCUGAGGGAUUGAGAAAGAAAGCAAAAAAUACUGGCGUGAGCCUCCUCUGUGACAGAGCAGCUGAAAGCCUUGGUUGUCAAAGCAAUGUGACAGAGAAGGAGAGAUUUUCAGUAGUUCAGAGAGUACUGUGGGGAGUCUGGGGUGAGAAAUGAGGGAUUCAGGUGAGUGGAGUGCUGCAAUAAUGGGCUGCAGUGUGGAGGAAGAUGGAAGGGAGGACAGGGAGCAGAGGACACCUAUUAAUAAAAAAAUACACAUUUCACGUAAGAUUUAUUGAUACCUCAGAGCCAGAGAGCCUUCCAUGCCUUUGCAUCUUCGAGCUGACAUUACCCAAGAGUGGGCAGUGUCAGGGAUCUGUUAUGAGCCGUUGGGCUGAAGUGGAGAAGAGCUCUGGACAUUAAUUUGCAGAAAUUAGGAGACUUUGGUUAAUGGAGAUCUCAGCCUGAGAGGCCCAUGCUGCAAUAGCAGAAUAGCAUUAGCGUUUCUGGAAACACAGCUGGUCAUUGCUGAACAUGCACUAUCACGCAUCAAAAAUGCAAUCACUCAGCUGGGGACCCCAGGAUGGUGGCUGUGGAUUAAUUGAGCCCUGGACAAAAAAAAUUGAUGGUGGCCUUGGGACCAGUGUUUACUACCCAGUGACAUUCAAAGAAAGGACAGCCCCAUCUGGUCGUGGGGAGAGCAGUGAUGGUGCAGAAAGAUGAAGUGGUCACUGUGGACAAAGAGCAGGCCAUGAACUCACCCCAGAGGAGGGUCGGGAGGGACUGGUUUUGUCGUGGAGGUGAAGGGCUGAGUCAAUAUGGGAAGGGAUGUGAGGGUGAAGUUGCUUCCACGCAGGGUGUUAAUGAAACAGGUACUGAGAAGUUCCCGUUAGAAACAAUGCUGGGAAGUUGGGGACGGUGAGUCACCAAAAUAAUGUGAUAAUAAAUGUCAUAAUAAAUAUUUAGCGCAGGGAGAGGGCUAACAAACAAAAGCUAAAAUUGGGAGUGGACUUCAUUACAGCUGAGGAUUGCUUCCGAGGGGAGAGGAUACAGGAUGCAGGGCUGCCUGAUCUGUGGGAGAAAAACAGCAGUGAGUGGAGAGCAGGUCCAAGUGAAUUUGUAUUCCAAAGGAGGCACCUUUUUAACAUUGAUGCUGACAAAUUAUCAGGAUACACUCAAAGGGCAGCAGUAUAUAUUCCCCCACACCAAACCUUGUGUGCAGCCAGCAGACACCCUGGCAGGCCAUGAAGGGAAAGAGGCACCUUGGAGGCACUGUAACUCGUUUGGUCCAUUUGGGAUUUCUUCUGGAAAAUGGGACAAGUGGUUCCUGGUCCCCAUCAGCUGCUCCAUCAGGAUUUCAACAGAUUUAAGCAGAUGAACAGAGCACCUGAUACUUUCAAAUCAAUGCUGCUCACGUGGCAAAUGGAGCUUUAAGCCAGAAGAUGGGCUCCCAGAGGGUGAACCGGUAUCUUUAAUAGCCUGUGAAUGGUCAGAGGUUGGGAUUUUCCCGGCUCCAGCCCGCGCAUCCCAGCUCACGCCGUGUGAGACGCGCCGGAGGUAACGCCACGCAAUUUACCUAUCGGCUGCUUUUCCUGCUGAGCAAAUAUUUGCCUUACCAUGGCUUUAACGUGCCCAUCUCGGUGACAGCUAAAUGUCAACCACAAAAUAAAGCGGUGCCACGGGGGAAGAGACCCCGCGCUCGGCAGCGCGGCUUUAUCUGGCUCCGGGUUUUAUCGGCGCAUCGGGCGAAGCAACAAGAAGAAACCCUCUAUUCCCAAAGGCGGCAUUUGAUGGGAACGUGGGGACACCCUGGCCUAUUGAGGUCGUUUUUGAAGUCCAUGGAGCCUCAGCGUUGGGUCUGCUGAUGAAUCACGACCUCCGAGAGCGAGCCCCUCUCCCUCCCGCUCCCGGGGCUCGGUUGUCUCUGACACCGAUUUGCUCUGGGGUGUUUGCAGCCAAGUUUCUCGUCCGGUGACGGCGUGUUCCCCCUCCGGAAGGGGCUGCGGGGAGCCGCGGCUCCACAGGCCGCUGUGACAUUUGGAGUGACCGGGAGGUCACUCGGACGGAAGAAAACAAAAGCAGCGGCCGCGCUCGGCGGGCACGGAGCGGCCCCGCAGAGGGGAAAGCACCAACAGGGUGCAGCCGCUCAGUGCCGGGCACUGCGGAGCGCACAAAUAAACACGGUCCCUGCGCUGGAACUCGCCGCCCCGGCUGACCGGGAGUUAACUCGGCAUGGACCCGACCCAAAGGCUCUUCCCGGGCAGGGAAAGCAGCCCUGUGAGCCCCCACGCCGUCCCGCUGGCCGGGGCUUGGCAGCGGGGGCUGCGGGCUGACAGCUGACGUCCUCCCCAGCCCAUUUCCUCCCGCUGCUGCCAAGCCACUCGCGGAGCACUUCUCGAAAUGAA